UAGGGAAUCUUCCACAACGGACGCAAGUCUGAUGGAGCAACGCCGCGUGAGCGAAGAAGGGUUUCGGCUCGUAAAGCUCUGUUGUUAAAGAAGAACGUGGGUAAGAGUAACUGUUUACCCAGUGACGGUAUUUAACCAGAAAGCCACGGCUAACUACGUGCCAG
rnacentral:rRNA from 1 species